UUUCGUUGUUCGGUAAUUUUUUUACCGAAUUCGAUCGGUAACCACAUAUUUUUUACAAAAUUUCUGUAAAAUUUGGAAUUUUACAGUUGUACUGUAAAACCUCUACCGAACGUAUUGUAAUUUGUUGAAAAUUUUGGCAGGAGCUGUCAAAAAAUUACCGUACAUACUGUAAACUAAUCCACGUACCAAAGUCGGUAAUCGAAUACCGAACAAAGCUGUAAUUCUCUCUGUAGAUUACCGAAAUACUGUGAAAUUGUUUUGACAUCCAUGUCAUUUAAAAAUAAUUUCGUAGCUUGCAGCACCGAAUGGAAAAUUACAAGAUUUCCAAGAAUGUUCCAAAAAAGGGAUGGCGUGUGUCUGAGAAAAAUGCCUUUAUAAUUCUUAGCAUUACAGAAAUCCUACAAUCGGGAUUUAAAAGAAUAAUAGGACUCGGAGCAAUACUAACAUCUGCUCUGUAAAAACGAUGCACAUCCGCUGAAUUACAUAUAGCAUGUGAUGCAGUAACUUUUCCUCGUUCUU